rnacentral:rRNA from 1 species
CGCUUCUUUGUUUUCUCUCACUGUGCACAAACCUGUAGACCCUUUCUUGAGGAUUGCUGUGCGAAAGUCGGCUCUCCUUGUUGUCUAUGCUUUCACAACCUAUGAAUGUAUCUAGAAUGCUUUUGAAUCUGGGGAAUACACAUACAACUUUCAGCAACGGAUCUCUUGGCUCUCGCAUCGAUGAAGAACGCAGCGAAAUGCGAUAAGUAAUGUGAAUUGCAGAAUUCAGUGAAUCAUCGAAUCUUUGAACGCAUCUUGCGCUCCUUGGUAUUCCGAGGAGCAUGCCUGUUUGAGUGUCAUUUGAAACCUCUCAACCACCUUCAAGGUGGCUUGGAAAUGGGGGAUCGUUGCAGGCUUUGAAGUCUGCUCCCCUGAAAUGCAUUAGUGGUGUCUGGGCUGACUGCCACAGUGUGAUAGCUAUCAGUGCCUUGGUGGAAACCUCGCUGCUUCCAA